GGUCCCCGCCGAUUUUGUUGGAAGCCAUAAAAAUGCCCAAAACGAUGCCGGUUACACCGAAAACUAGGAGAGAGACGGCGAGAGCAAUCUCCUUGACGGGAGGGCGAUUGUUGACAACGUAAGAUGACUCGAUCAUUAUGUCGUCGUCCGUAAUGGAGAAGGCAUGGUCUACAUAAGCCAUCUCUUAGAAGAAGAAGAAGAUGCAGUGGUGUUCUUUCCCCUGUUUGUAAAGGAUUCAGGUGAUGGGGUAUUGAGGAGAGGGUGAGGUUGGGUGCUUUUCUUGGAAUUUAAGUUUGAAGAAAUAGACUUUUCAAAACUAAUGAAGAUUUUGACCUUGUGAUUAAGCUAAGUUUCAUGAUUUAUCUUAUCUCUCGCCAUUGACGUUUCUAAUUACGAUUCUGUAGAGUAGAGGUUUCGUGUUCUAGAUUGCCCUUUCUUUUUUGCUUUUGUUUUUGGAUAAUCAUUU
rnacentral:misc_RNA from 1 species